AACAUAAUCAAUAGGAAUUUGGUUAAAUAAUUAUGACAUAUCUAUACAAUGAAGCCUUAAAGCCACUAAUUAGAAUUAUAUAGAUACAUAUUUAUAGACAUGAAAAUAUAAAUGUUUAGAUGUUGCUACGUGGAGAAAAAACCACGUGUCCUCUGAUUCUAUGUAGGGUGUGUGCGCGUGUUUGUGUGCGUGCGUGCGUGCGAAUGUGUGUGUGCAUGCGCACACAGACAGAGAAAAGUCUGAAUAGCACUAUUUUUCCAGCAAUUACUUCUCAGCUUAACUCUAAGCUUUAUAAUGCUCUGUACUUUAUGAAUUUUCAGGAACGAGCUUGUAUUAUUUUUUUAGGAGAAGAUUUACCUAAGUAAAAAUUCUCCAAGAACUAACUGGUGCUCUCUGGUUGUCCUCUUUCGUUUUAACCUUCUAGUUACAAGCUCAUUCUGAUCCAGCUUUUUUAUGACAUCUGCUAGUUGGUUCUCUACCAGUCUUCUCAGAGUUUGAGAUAUUCAGCCUCACUUUUUUAGGCUCUUUUUUAAGGCAUGCACACACAAACAACGUAUUUCAUUUGUAGUAUACCGCAGACUAUAGUCCUAUAAAUAAUAGGCCCCAAGUUGAAGGUGGUAUGAUAAAGUUCUUCCAAAUCUCCCAUCCUGUCAGAGAUUCUCUAGGCCUGACUAUAUACUCCUUUGGAGAUAAUAUCAGAAAUCAAAAUAUCCAAAAUCGAUAUUUGAGGCCUUUUGGGAGUGUGUGCCUUGAAUCGUAUGGUCCUCCUAACCCUCUUGUACAAGGUUUUCUGUCUGUCCCAUGCUGGACUGGUUCCAUACAACGGCAUACUCCACUCUAUCCAGUCUCUGCUGUCCCUCCAUUCUGGCUUUUCUAGGCUAUAACCCAAGUCUCUGGACUUAUAGCUCCCCAAAUAUAUUCUCCUUGAGAUGCUCCUCAGGGCAUCUCAACCAGUGGCUGUUACAAUGGAGAGUCUGGCCUCUACCAACCCCCAUGUGAGAAGCACCCCCAUGUGAGAAGCAUGGCUGCCAGUGGCAACAGAGUAAGGACCCAACACCAUAUCAUUGUGCUGUGGUAUCUCUGUUGCCUGAAGAGUCAAAGUUCUAGAAAUAGUGACUCAGGAGCUGUGGCAAGAUGACAAGGUCAAUGAUGGGGAGCUACAGUGCUAGAGGUGGCCCAGGGAGCACUGGACGCCUGGCCAUGCUCAGAGAAACAUGCAGAUACAACUGUGACCCAAGACUGCAGCUGCACUAACAUGGCAUCAAGCUACAAACUAAAUGCAGGAGUUAUGUCGACUUUUCUACAUAACUGAGAGGCCAUGACGGGGCCCACAUGCCACAGGCUAAGCUUCAGCAUUCUUGGCACGACAGAGUUGGAUCAUUCACAGUGAUUUUCUAGAGCAGAACCAGCUGAGCCAACCACAGUGACAUUCCUUGUUUUGCCAAAUUCUCCUGUCAGCUAGACAGGAGCAGACACUGGGAACUCAGAGUACUCAAGCAAUUACCAUGGGCAACUGAGCAAGGACCACCAUUGCAGAAGAAGAAACACAUUUAAGAUAUCCAAAGCACCUCUGCAAGCCAUGUGACCUACAGGUGACAUCAGCAAUGAACAUGACAGGCAGGUCUGGCAAGUGGUACACAGACAGGGCAAAUGCUCUGGAAAACACUCUGAGUUUGUUUACUUUUGAACAUUCUGUUCAAGGUCAUCAAUAGUCCAUGCAAGGUCUCUCCCUUAUUUUGCUUAUAAAUUAACAUAAUAAAUUACAUUAUUAAAUGAUUAUUACAUAAAUUAAUUUUCAUUUAUUCCCACCACCACUCUCAUGCUUCUUUCACCAUAAACAAUCAUUUUGAGGUGUUUAGUGUGGAUAUUUUUAUUUGCAGGUAUUUUUUUCCUUAACAUUUUUUUUUUCUUUUUAGGGCUGCACCUGCAGCAGCAAAUGGAAGUUCCCAGGCUCGGGAUCAAAUCAGAGCUGCAGCUGCCGGCCUCCACCACAGCGACCUAUGCCGCAGCUUGCAGCAGCACCAUUGAGUGAGGCCAGGGAUCAAACCUGCAUCCUCAUGGAUAUUGGGUUCUUAACUAGCUGAGCCACAGCAGGAAUUCCCAUGGGUUUUUUUUGCCUUUUUUUUUUUUUUUUAGCAAAAAUGCGUAGUAUUUUGUAUUCAUGGAUUUUUAAAUUACAUAAAUGUGUGUUAAGCAUCUCAUUCUGUUUUUACCUUUUCCACUAAACAUUAGCACGGCUAUAUGUUGCAUGAUUCCAUAUUGCUCUAUGUGUAUCUAAUCCGUUAUUCCUAACUGCCACCUCCUGUCCAAUCAUGUGCCCCCAGAACAUUUUACCCACUGCUUUCCCAGUGAUAGGCAGACAGAAGUAAUACUGCAGUCAGCACUAUUGCAAAUGUCCUCUCGUGGACCUAGGUGAGAAUAUCCCUGGGAUAUAUAUCCAGGAGCUAUACUGUUGGAACACUGGAUGUGUAUAUACUUGCUCUGACUAAAUUCUGCAAGACUGCUUACCAGAGUGGUUGCACCAAUCUCUGUUUGCAGUAACACUGUGUAAAAAUUCCUCUGCCUCCACUUCCACAUGGCAGGAACCUUUAAAGAGGUAGGUCACCAUGUGGAGCCCUUCGCUUUUACAUUAUGGACUUUUUACAUCUUGCUUCCAGGCUGGAUGCCUGAGCACAGCUCUAAAGGAACUCCUGGGAGUCAAUACUGAGAAUGCCCGAUGCUGGGGCUCCGUGGAAGAAAGAUGGUGUAAUGUGUCUCACUGCUAUUCAUUCAUUUAUUGAGCACCUGCUGAGUGCAAAGCUCCAAGCUAAUAGAAAAAAAUCUCAUGUGGUCUAUGCCUUUUUUUGGAUUCAGAAAUUAGUGCGAAAGAAUGACCUUAGUUCAAAUUCCUGCAAGUAAAUGGCAACAAGCACACGCAGUCUUUGGAGUUCCCAUCAUGGCUCAGUGGUUAAUGAAUCUGACUAGGAACCAUGAGGUUGCGGGUUUGAUCCCUGGCCUUGCUCAGUGGGUUAGGGAUCCAGUGUUGCCAUGAGCUGUGGUGCAGUUUGCAGACUUGGCUUGGAUUCCAUGUUGCUGUGGCUCUGGCGUAGGCCGGCGGCUACAACUCCGAUUCGACCCCUAGCCUGGGAACCUCCAUAUGCCGUGGGUGCAACC
rnacentral:lncRNA from 1 species